rnacentral:rRNA from 1 species
CCUUCAUGAAGCUGGAAUUGCUAGUAAUGGCAGGUCAGCAUACUGCCGUGAAUACGUUCCCGGGCCUUGUACACACCGCCCGUCACACCAUGAGAGUUGGGAAUACCCGAAGCCUGUGAGCUAACAUAUGAGGCAGCAGUCGAAGGUAGAAUCAAUGAUUGGGGUGAAGUCGUAACAAGGUAGC